GAUGAAGAACGUAGCGAAAUGCGAUACUUGGUGUGAAUUGCAGAAUCCCGUGAACCAUCGAGUCUUUGAACGCAAGUUGCGCCCGAAGCCAUCAGGUUGAGGGCACGUCUGCCUGGGCGUCACAUAUCGUUGCCCAAUGCCUAUUGCAGUGCAAUAGGAAUUUCUAGGGCGAAUGAUGGCUUCCCGUGAGCGAUGUUGCCUCGCGGUUGGUUGAAAAUCGAGUCCUUGGUAGGGUGUGCCAUGGUAGAUGGUGGUCGAGUUAGAACGAUACCGAUCAUGUGCAUGCUCCCCAAAAUAUGGCCUCUAUGACCCACACGCGUCUUUUGACGCUCAUGACGAGACCUCAGGUCAGGCGGGGCUACCCGCUGAAUUUAAGCAUAUCAAUAAGCGGAGGA
rnacentral:misc_RNA from 1 species